ensembl:snRNA U6 U6 spliceosomal RNA
GUGCUCACUUUGGCAGCACAGAUACUAAAAUUGGAAGGACAGAGAGAAGACUAGCACGGCCCCUGUGCAAGGAUGACACGCGAAUUCGUAAAGCAUUCCAUAUUUUU